rnacentral:rRNA from 1 species
CCUACGGGAGGCAGCAGCAAGGAAUCUUCCGCAAUGGGCGAAAGCCUGACGGAGCAACGCCGCGUGUGGGAUGACGCCUUUCGGGGUGUAAACCACUUUUCUCAGGGAAGAAGCACUGACGGUACCUGAGGAAGAAGGACCGGCUAACUACGUGCCAGCAGCCGCGGUAAUACGUAGGGUCCGAGCGUUGUCCGGAGUUACUGGGCGUAAAGCGCGCGCAGGCGGCGGUGUAAGCAUGGCGUGAAAGCCCCUGGCUUAACCAGGGAGGGUCGUCGUGGACUGCACCGCUUGAGGGCGGUAGGGGCUGGUGGAAUGCCUGGUGUAGUGGUGAAAUGCGUAGAGAUCAGGCGGAACACCCGUGGCGAAGGCGGCCAGCUGGGCCGUCCCUGACGCUGAGGCGCGAAGGCGUGGGGAGCGAACGGGAUUAGAUACCCCGGUAGUCCACGCAGUAAACGAUGCAGACUAGGCGUGGGGGGAGUUGACCCCCUCCGUGCCGGAGCCAACGCGGGAAGUCUGCCGCUGGGGAGUACGGCCGCAAGGCUAAACUCAAAUGAAUUGACGG